GGGGGCAACUACCCUGAGGUUAUAUAAAGGCUUGCCAUAGAAGGGGGAGUGUUUCUUGGAGCUAGUCUGCUUCUUGAGGAGUCAUGCUGUAUAGCCAGAGAUCCCCUUCUCUGGUUGAGUGAGUUCAGCUCUUUUUUUCCAUGUGCAACUGUUGGCCUACCUACCUGCAGCAAAGUCUUGGACCUGUGUGAACCUGUGUCCUAUGUAUGCAGCGCUGGAGCUGGAUUAAGUCUUCUUGGAGGUCAUAUCUUGUCUAGAUCUGCCCCAAAGCAGGUAGUGGAGCCUAUUUGUGUGGGGAUGUUUGCCUGUGUAAUGUGAGGCAAAGGUUGCUCAAUUUUUGAGUUGGUCUUCAAGCCAGUGUGCUUCCUGUGCGUUUCCUCCUUUGAAGCAACUUCUCUGUGCCAAGAGCUUCCCCAGAAGGGAAAAAUUCUGCUUUGACUUUCAGGUAUGGAGUUCCUUGCCAUCACAGUGCAAACCAACAAAUAUGGAUGUUGGCCAAGAAACAAGGCAGCUUAAAUGAAACAGCAGUCCCCAGGACUUCUCACAGGCAAUAGCACGAGGGGUGAGGUUUUGUUGGAGUGCAUUCAUCGUCUUGUCUGCUAUUUCAGCAUUGCUGCAACUUUCUGGACUGGAAGGUUUUGGGGAAUUGAGAUAUCCUGUCUAUUGAUGGCCCUUUUUUUUCAAGGAGCAGGGGCAAGUUCAAGGGCUGGCACCACCCACGCCCUUGAACAGAGCAAAACUGGUGCUUCCCUGUUUCUCCUUUGAUUUCUUUGUUGGAUUGAACGAGGAUGGAGAUGGAACUGAGAAAUGAAAAAGUAUGUUGCCUGUAAGUAGUGAAGCUGGUACUGUUUGGUGUUCCUUAAAAACUUAAUUAAUUGAAAAUGCCCGUUAUUGGUGUUUUUUUUGUAGGGUGAACUUGAAGAGUAUGAUAAUUUCACUAUCAGAUAAAUAUAAUUGGGGAUUUACCCAGGGAAGGAUCUUUUACAGAGCCUUGGAAGCAUCUACUGCAUAUUUAUGUCUAAGAACUUUUGUUUGUCUGACCCUGCUAAAAAAGCAUGUUUUCAUGUUAGCAGCAGUCGGAUGCUCCAGAAGCUGCUUUGGGUGCAUUGGUAAUCAGAAAUUUUUCUGUUAUCAUUAGUGAAUUUCAAAUGUAAACACUGGAGCUGUUUUAAUUACUUCGUAAUUUAAUGUGGGCAGGAUUUAUUGCUGUGUUUUGUGACCUGUAAUUGAUUUGGUGUAUUGCACCAUGCCUAACAGAAGAUCUCGUGGUGGUGCAAGAAAGAACACAUGUUGCUACAGUAAUUAUAUAACCAAACCUUUA